GUGGGGAAUCUUCCGCAAUGGACGAAAGUCUGACGGAGCAACGCCGCGUGAGUGAAGAAGGUUUUCGGAUCGUAAAGCUCUUUCGUUAGGGACGAACGUGCUCUUUGUGAAUAAUGAGGAGUAAUGACGGUACCUAAAUAAGAAGCCACGGCUAACUACGUGCCAGCAGCCGCGGUAAUACGUAGGUGGCAAGCGUUGUCCGGAAUUAUUGGGCGUAAAGCGCGCGCAGGCGGGAUAUCAAGUCUGUCUUAAAAGUGCGAGGCUCAACCUCGUGAGGGGACAGAAACUGGUAUUCUUGAGUGUCGGAGAGGAAAGUGGAAUUCCAAGUGUAGCGGUGAAAUGCGUAGAGAUUUGGAAGAACACCAGUGGCAAAGGCGACUUUCUGGACGAUGUCUGACGCUGAGGCACGAAAGCUAGGGGAGCGAACGGGAUUAGAUACCCCAGUAGUCC
rnacentral:rRNA from 1 species